rnacentral:rRNA from 1 species
AGAAGGUUCCUCGGGCGCGAUUCCGGCCCAAGUCCCUUGGAACAGGGCGUCGCAGAGGGUGAGAAUCCCGUACGCGGCCGGAAACCGAAGCCCAUUGCGAGGUCCUUUCGACGAGUCGAGUUGUUUGGGAAUGCAGCUCUAAACGGGUGGUAAAUUUCAUCUAAGGCUAAAUACCGGCCGGAGACCGAUAGCGCACAAGUAGAGUGAUCGAAAGAUGAAAAGCACUUUGAAAAGAGAGUCAAACAGUACGUGAAAUUGUUGAAAGGGAAGCGCUUGCGACCAGACUCGCGCGCGGGUGCUCAGCCGCCCUCCGGGGCGGUGCGCUCUCCCGUGCCCGGGCCAGCAUCGGUUCGGGCGGCCGGACAAAGGCCCCGGGAACGUGAUUCCCUUCGGGGAACGUUAUAGCCCGGGGUGCAAUGCGGCCAGCCCGGACCGAGGACCGCGCUCUUGCUAGGAUGCCGGCGUAAUGGUCGCCAGCGACCCGUCUUGAAACACGGACCAAGGAGUCGACCAACUGCGCGAGUGUUUGGRCGUAAAACCCACGCGCGCAAUGAAAGUGAAAACGGUACGAGCUCCGGCGCAGUAUCGACCGAUCUUGAAAUUUAUGGAUGGAUUUGAGUAGGAGCGAAGUUGGUCGGACCCGAAAGAUGGUGAGCUAUGCGUGAAUAGGGUGAAGCCAGAGGAAACUCUGGUGGAGGCUCGCAGCGGUUCUGACGUGCAAAUCGAUCGUCAAAUUUGCGUAUAGGGGCGAAAGACUAAUCGAACCAUCUAGUAGCUGGUUCCUGUCGAAGUUUCCCUCAGGAUAGCAGCAACGAACACAGUCUCAUGAGGUAGAGCGAACGAUUAGAGGCCUUGGGGCAGAAACU